rnacentral:rRNA from 1 species
UACGGGGGGGGCAAGCGUUGUUCGGAAUUACUGGGCGUAAAGGGCUCGUAGGUGGCCAACUAAGUCAGACGUGAAAUCCCUCAGCUUAACUGGGGAACUGCGUCUGAUACUGGAUGGCUUGAGUUUGGGAGAGGGAUGCGGAAUUCUCGGUGUAGAGGUGAAAUUCGUAGAUAUCGAGAGGAACACCGGUGGCGAAGGCGGCUAUCUGGACAGAAACUGACGCUGAGACGCGAAAGCGUGGGGAGCAAACAGG